rnacentral:rRNA from 1 species
UAAAGCAAGAAAGGGCGUAUGGGGAAUGCCUAGGCACACUCCGGCGAAGAAGGACGCAGCAAACAGCGAAAUGCGACGGUGAGCGGUAAGCACGUGAAGAGCCGUCGAUAUCCGAAUGGGGGAACCCACACGGAGUCAUAUCCGUGUAUCACAUGUCGAAUACAUAGACAUGAUGAGGCGAGACGCAGGGAACUGAAACAUCUAAGUACCUGCAGGAAGAGAAAAUAAGAAUGAUUUUCUGAGUAGCGGCGAGCGAAAGGGAAAGAGCCCAAACCGAUCUGAGGAUCGGGGUAGUAGGAUCAUCGAGAAAUCAAACAGAGGAUCAUAGAGGAAUCACAUGGGAAGGUGAGCGAGAGAGGGUGAGAGCCCCGUACUCGAAAUGAGAGACUGGAGAGAGAUGACACCUGAGUAGGGCGGGACACGAGAAAUCCUGUCUGAAUCAGCCGGGACCAUCCGGCAAGGCUAAAUACGAGAGAGUGACCGAUAGUGAACCAGUACCGUGAGGGAAAGGUGAAAAGAACCCCGGGAGGGGAGUGAAAGAGAACCUGAAACCAUAUGCCUACAAGAAGUCAGAGCCCGUUAAAGGGUGAUGGCGUGCCUUUUGUAGAAUGAACCGGCGAGUUACUGUAUGGAGCGAGGUUAAGCAGGAUAUGCGGAGCCGAAGCGAAAGCGAGUCUUAAGAGGGCGCGAGUUGCAUGCAGUAGACCCGAAACCGGGUGAUCUAGCCAUGACCAGGUUGAAGUUGGGGUAAAACCCGAUGGAGGACCGAACCGACCCCCGUUGAAACGUUGGCGGAUGAGUUGUGGCUAGGGGUGAAAUUCCAAUCGAACCCGGAGAUAGCUGGUUCUCCCCGAAAUAGCUUUAGGGCUAGCGUCGAGAGAAGAGUUGCGUGAAGGUAGAGCACUGAAUAUGUGAUGGCCCCAUCUCGGGGUACUGAGCAUAAUCAAACUGCGAAUGUCACGCCAACAUGCUCGGCAGUCAGACAGCGGGUGAUAAGGUCCGUUGUCAAGAGGGAAACAGCCCAGACCAUCAGCUAAGGUCCCAAAAUGUAUGCUAAGUGGAAAAGGAUGUGGAGAUGUACAGACAACUAGGAGGUUGGCUCAGAAGCAGCCAUCCUUUAAAGAGUGCGUAACAGCUCACUAGUCGAAUGACUCUGCGCCGAUAAUUUACCGGGGCUAAGCAUACUACCGAAGCUAUGGAUCCCAAGGGAUGGUAGGGGAGCGUUCCAUGAACGGAGAAGUACGACCGAAAGGACGUGUGGAGAUCAUGGAAGAGAGAAUGCCGGUGUGAGUAGCGGAACGUGGGUGAGAAUCCCACGCACCGAAAACCCAAGGUUUCCAGAGGAAGGUUCGUCCGCUCUGGGUAAGUCGGGACCUAAGGCGAGGCCGAAAGGCGUAGUCGAUGGACAACAGGUAGAGAUUCCUGUACCCGUAUAUAUGUGAAGGAAUGACGGAGAGAGGAAGCUGCAGCCAGCGGCUGGAAGAGCUGGUGCAAGCGAGAUAUCGGGAUGGCAGGCAAAUCCACCAUCCGAAACGAGAAGGCGUGAAGCGUACGGAAAGCUACGGCGAGUACGGAAGGCAGUGGAGGAACUUCCAAGAAAAGUUUCUAACGUUAAGUAUAUAUGGCCCGUACCGAAAAUGGACACACAUGGGUGAGGAGAGAAUCCUAAGGUGAGCGAGAGAACUAUAGCUAAGGAACUCUGCAAAAUGACUCCGUAACUUAGGGAGAAGGAGUGCUCAUAGAGAUAUGAGCCGCAGUGAAACGGCCCAAGCGACUGUUUACCAAAAACACAGCUCUCUGCUAAGCCGCAAGGCGAAGUAUAGGGGGUGACGCCUGCCCGGUGCUGGAAGGUUAAGGGGAGGGGUUAACGCAAGUGAAGCCCUGAACUGAAGCCCCAGUAAACGGCGGCCGUAACUAUAACGGUCCUAAGGUAGCGAAAUUCCUUGUCAGGUAAGUUCUGACCC